CUCAGAUUGAACGCUGGCGGCAUGCUUUACACAUGCAAGUCGAACGGCAGCRCGGGCUUCGGUCUGGYGGCGAGUGGCGAACGGGUGAGUAAUAUAUCGGAACGUACCCAAGAGUGGGGGAUAACGUAGCGAAAGUUACGCUAAUACCGCAUACGAUCUAUGGAUGAAAGUGGGGGAUCGCAAGACCUCAUGCUCCUGGAGCGGCCGAUAUCUGAUUAGCUAGUUGGUGAGGUAAAGGCUCACCAAGGCGACGAUCAGUAGCUGGUCUGAGAGGACGACCAGCCACACUGGAACUGAGACACGGUCCAGACUCCUACGGGAGGCAGCAGUGGGGAAUUUUGGACAAUGGGCGCAAGCCUGAUCCAGCAAUGCCGCGUGAGUGAAGAAGGCCUUCGGGUUGUAAAGCUCUUUUGUCAGGGAAGAAACGGUAGGAGCUAAUAUCUCUUGCUA
rnacentral:rRNA from 1 species